AUUGAACGCUGGCGGCAUGCCUUACACAUGCAAGUCGAACGGCAGCACGGGUGCUUGCACCUGGUGGCGAGUGGCGAACGGGUGAGUAAUAUAUCGGAACGUACCUUAUUGUGGGGGAUAACGCAGCGAAAGCUGUGCUAAUACCGCAUAAUCCCUAAGGGGGAAAGCGGGGGACCGUAAGGCCUCGCGCAAUUAGAGCGGCCGAUACCUGAUUAGCUAGUUGGUGAGGUAAAGGCACACCAAGGCAACGAUCAGUAGCUGGUCUGAGAGGACGAUCAGCCACACUGAGACUGAGACACGGCCCAGACUCCUACGGGAGGCAGCAGUGGGGAAUUUUGGACAAUGGGGGCAACCCUGAUCCAGCAAUGCCGCGUGAGUGAAGAAGGCCUUCGGGUUGUAAAGCUCUUUUGUCAGGGAAGAAACAGCAGCUCUAACACAGUUUGCGAAUGACGGUACCUGAAGAAUAAGCACCGGCUAACUACGUGCCAGCCGCCGCGGUAA
rnacentral:rRNA from 1 species